GAGGCUCACAACCAUGGACUUGCCAUUGGACUCAAGAAUGAUUUGUUACAAAUCAAAGACCUACUUCACGACUUUGAUUUUGCCAUCAAUGAAUCUUGUGAACAAUUUCGUUACAAUGUUCAAAAAAACUGUCUUCUGUACCAGCCAUUCUUUGAUGCCAGAAAGCCUGUCUUCCAUAUAGAGUAUGUACGCAGCUCUUCCGCGGCCCACGCUCAACGUAACGCCAUCUGCAGCAACAGACCUUCCGACAUGAACACCAUUAUAAAAGUCGCACUGACCAACUACAAAGUCGACUGCUAAGCAUUGCAAUAAACAGGCAGAAUUUUC
rnacentral:misc_RNA from 1 species